CCUACGGGUGGCAGCAGUGAGGAAUAUUGGUCAAUGGACGAGAGUCUGAACCAGCCAAGUAGCGUGAAGGAUGACUGCCCUUUGGGUUGUAAACUUCUUUUAUAAAGGAAUAAAACGAGGCACGUGUGCCUUUUUGCAUGUACUUUAUGAAUAAGGAUCGGCUAGCUCCGUGCCAGCAGCCGUGGUAAUACGGGGGAUCCGAGCGUUAUCCGGAUUGAUUGGGUUUAAAGGGAGCGUAGAUGGGUUGUUAAGUCAGUUGUGAAAGUUUGCGGCUCAACCGGAAGAUUGCAAUUGAUACUGGCAGUCUUGAGUACAGUUGAGGGAGGCGGAAUUCGUGGUGUAGCAGUGAAAUGCUUAGAUAUCACGAAGAACCCCGAUUGCGAAGGCAGCUUACUAAACUGUGACUGACAUUGAUGCUCGAAAGUGUGGGUAUCAAACAGGAUUAGAUACCCGGGUAGUC
rnacentral:rRNA from 1 species